rnacentral:rRNA from 1 species
CCUACGGGUGGCAGCAGUGAGGAAUAUUGGUCAAUGGGCGCGAGCCUGAACCAGCCAAGCAGCGUGAAGGAUGAAGGCCCUACGGGUUGUAAACUUCUUUUAUAAAGGAAUAAAGUGAGGCACGUGUGCCUUUUUGUAUGUACUUUAUGAAUAAGGAUCGGCUAACUCCGUGCCAGCAGCCGCGGUAAUACGGAGGAUCCGAGCGUUAUCCGGAUUUAUUGGGUUUAAAGGGAGCGUAGAUGGGUUGUUAAGUCAGUUGUGAAAGUUUGCGGCUCAACCGUAAAAGUGCAAUUGAUACUGGCAGGCUUGAGUUCAGGAGAGGUAGGCGGAAUGCGUGGUGUAGCGGUGAAAUGCGUAGAUAUCACGAAGAACUCCGAUUGCGAAGGCAGCCUGCUGGACUGUAACUGACGCUGAGGCUCGAAAGCGUGGGUAUCAAACAGGAUUAGAUACCCGUGUAGUC